rnacentral:piRNA from 1 species
UGAGACUUGAUGGGUGCCACAAACCCAGCAA